GACAACUGUUGGAGAUGAUGAGUAUUGAAUGGAGAAACUCGGGGCACGAGAAAUGGGGAUACACGUGAAUGAACUUUCCCAACACCUUAUAAUUCCACUGGUGGAAAUCAUGUAGCUCCCCCUGCGCACAUGAAGUCGCAUGUGAACCAAGGACACAACACAUGG